GCUAUCUGUAUUGAACAACAGGGGAGAACAAUUAGACCACAGUUCAAAAUAGGUUUCACUCUCACUGUGAAGAGCCCGUGAGAGUAGAGCCGAGAGCAAUGGCUGGCUAGCCUUUAUCAGAAAUCAUAAAGAAGAAGAUUAAUGUGUUUUCCAUUGUGAGAGACAUUUUUGAACAUUUGGCUUGGGAAAUACUGUUACUGAAAAAAAAAAAGGAAAAUGUAUGAAAAAUGAGACUAGGUAGUAUGGUAUUCUGAUACAGUAAAAUCAAACCACUCAACUUGUCUGCACUCCCACCCCAGACUUUGACAGGGUGUAAGUGAAAAGCAGAAUUUGGAUCUACAAGUACAAUAGUGCUAGAGUACCACACAGUGUAACUAAUGUAUCCAUUUUGACCUCAGUCAUACUCAGACAGAAAAUUAUCUGCUAUUAACACACCCACUUUAUGUAUCCUGCUUCCCAAACAAAUUUGGUUUAAUGUGAAUGUAGGAUGGGGUAAUUUGACUCUCUGCAAUCACAGCAGACAGCUGUGAGUGAUACAAGACAUGAAAAUGAAUAAUCCCUGCCUUGCUCACGGGGAAUAGAGGGUGCUCUGUAGUUGUUAUGCUGUGAUGUAGACAUAACUACCACGUAUUAGAUACAGCAGCAUAAAAUAAAUCUUUAAUUCUAAUAGUGUUA